AGAGUUUGAUCCUGGCUCAGAACGAACGCUGGCGGCGUGCCUAACACAUGCAAGUCGAACGAGAAAGUUUCUUCGGAAACGAGUAAAGUGGCGCACGGGUGAGUAACACGUGAAUAAUCUGCCUUCGAGACUGGGAUAACUUGACGAAAGUUAAGCUAAUACCAGAUAAGACCACGCUUCACAAGGAGUGCGGGAAAAGGGAUCUCAAAUCCUGCUCGUAGAUGAGUUCGCGUACCAUUAGCUUGUUGGUGAGAUAAAAGCUCACCAAGGCGACGAUGGUUAGCCGGCCUGAGAGGGUGAUCGGCCACACUGGAACUGAGACACGGUCCAGACUCCUACGGGAGGCAGCAGUGGGGAAUCUUGCGCAAUGGGCGAAAGCCUGACGCAGCAACGCCGCGUGAGCGAUGAAGGCCUUCGGGUCGUAAAGCUCUGUCAAGUGGGAAGAACACAAUGACGGUACCACUAGAGGAAGCCCCGGCUAACUUCGUGCCAGCAGCCGCGGUAAUACGAAGGGGGCAAGCGUUGUUCGGAAUUAUUGGGCGUAAAGCGUAUGUAGGUGGUUUAUCAAGUCAGACGUGCAAGCCCUCGGCUCAACCGAGGAAUUGCGUUUGAAACUGAUAGACUUGAGUGUAGGAGAGGAAAGCGGAAUUCCCAGUGUAGCGGUGAAAUGCGUUGAUAUUGGGAAGAACACCGGUGGCGAAAGCGGCUUUCUGGCCUGCUACUGACACUGAGAUACGAAAGCCAGGGGAGCAAAGGGGAUUAGAUACCCCCGUAGUC
rnacentral:rRNA from 1 species